rnacentral:rRNA from 1 species
CUACGGGCGGCUCCAGUUAGGAAUAAUCUACAAUGCGCGCAAGCGUGAUAGUUUGAGCCAGAGUGCUUAUCAUUUGAUCAGCUUUUGCCGAAUGUAAAAAGUUCGGCGAAUAAGGACUGGGCAAGACUGGUGCCAGCCGCCGCGGUAAUACCAGCGGUCCAAGUCGCAGCCACUUUUAUUGGGUCUAAAACAUCCGUAGCUUGCUUAGAAAGUUUCCUGUGAAAUCCGGCUUCUUAAGAGUUGGGCGGGCAGGAAAUACUACUGGGCUAGAGACUGGGAGACGUAAGAAGUACGUUCAAAGUAGCGGUUAAAUGUGUUAAUCUUGGACGGACUAACAAGAGCGAAGGCAUCUUACGAGAACAGUUCUGACAGUCAGGGAUGAAGGCUAGGGGCGCAAAACGGAUUAGAUACCCUGGUAGUC